UGAAUACGAGACGCUAAGGCGUCGAAGUAGUGUAUGUCAUACUUCCAAGAAAAGCUUGCACUGUCAUAGAUAAAAAACGCCUGUACCAUAACCGACACAGGUGGGUAGGUAGAGUAUACUAAGGGGCGCGAGAUAACUCUCUCUAAGGAACUCGGCAAAAUAACUCCGUAACUUCGGGAGAAGGAGUGCCUUAUUCUUAAGGUUGCAAUAACAAGAUCCAAGCAACUGUUUAUCAAAAACACAGGUCUCCGCUAAGUCGUAAGACGAUGUAUGGGGGCUGACGCCUGCCCAGUGCCAGAAGGUUAAAGAAGCUGGUUAGCAUUUGCGAAGCUAGUAACUGAAGCCCUGGUGAACGGCGGCCGUAACAAUAACGGUCCUAAGGUAGCGAAAUUCCUUGUCGGGUAAGUUCCGACCCGCACGAAAGGCGUAAUGAUUUGGAUACUGUCUCGGAGAGGGGCUCGGUGAAAUAGACUUGUCUGUGAAGAUGCGGACUACCUGCACCAGGACAGAAAGACCCUAUGAAGCUUUACUGUAACUUGAAAUUGAAAUUGGACUUUAUUCGCGCAGUAUAGGUGGGAGGCGUUGAUUAUAAUCUUGCGGGAUUAUUGGAGCCAUUAGUGAGAUACCACUCUUGUAAUGUUAGAUUUCUAACUUUGAAUCAUUAUCUGGUCAAAGAACAGUUUCAGGCGGGCAGUUUGACUGGGGCGGUCGCCUCCUAAACGGUAACGGAGGCGUACAAAGGUUUCCUCUGAACGGUUAGAAAUCGUAUCUAGAGUGUAAAGGCAUAAGGAAGCUUGACUGUGAGACCUACAAGUCGAGCAGGGACGAAAGUUGGUCUUAGUGAUCUGACGGUACUGAGUGGAAAGGCCGUCACUCAACGGAUAAAAGUUACUCUAGGAUAACAGGCUGAUCUCCCCCAAGAGUUCACAUCGACGGGGAGGUUUGGCACCUCGAUGUCGGCUCAUCGCAUCCCGGGGCGGUAGUACGUCCCAAGGUUUGGGCUGUUCGCCCAUGAAAGCGGUACGCGAGCUGGGUUCAGAACGUCGUGAGACAGUUCGGUCCAUAUCCGGUGUAGGCGUUAGAAUAUUGAGAGGAGCCUUCUUUAGUACGAGAGGACCGAGAAGGACAUACCUCUGGUGUACCAGUUAUCGUGCCAACGGUAAACGCUGGGUAGCUAUGUAUGGAGUGGAUAACCGCUGAAAGCAUCUAAGUGGGAAGCCCACCUCAAGAUAAGUAUUCUCAUC
rnacentral:rRNA from 1 species